rnacentral:lncRNA from 1 species
GGUUGGGUUUUGAGUCUUACUCAAAUUCACACCUCACAACGCAACCAAGAACUCCUUCUUUGCUGGUCUAUUUUGAACUCUUUCAAAAACUUGUCAAGGCAUGCAUCUUGUUGAAACUUCUAUUAAGCGCUUUCGAUCUAUCUCCAUAGAUCUUUGAUGCUCAACGUUCAAGUAGAGUAAUCCAGGUACUCCUUUGAAAACUUCUUUGAAACAACCUUGUAUGCUUUACAG